UGAUCCUGGCUCAGGAUGAACGCUGGCGGCGUGCUUAACACAUGCAAGUCGAACGCAGUGCCUUUGCUUCGGUAGGGGCAGCUGAGUGGCGGACGGGUGCGUAACACGUAGGAACCUGCCCCAGAGAGGGGGAUAACCGUUGGAAACGACGGAUAAUCCCGCAUACGCUCCUUCGGGAGAAAAGCUACGGCGCUCUGGGAUGGGCCUGCGGCCUAUCAGGUAGUUGGUGGGGUAAUGGCCUACCAAGCCUACGACGGGUAGGGGGCGUGAGAGCGUGGCCCCCCACACGGGAACUGAGACACGGUCCCGACGCCUACGGGCGGCAGCAGUGAGGAAUAUUGCACAAUGGGCGAAAGCCUGAUGCAGCGACGCCGCGUGCGGGAAGAAGGCCUUCGGGUUGUAAACCGCUUUUCUGGGGGACGAGCAAGGACGGUACCUCAGGAAUAAGUCCCGGCUAACUACGUGCCAGCAGCCGCGGUAAUACGUAGGGGGCAAGCGUUAUCCGGAAUCACUGGGCGUAAAGGGCGUCUAGGCGGCAAGGCAAGUCUCGCGUAAAAGCUCCCGGCUCAACUGGGAGAGCGCGCGGGAAACUGCCUGGCUAGAGACUCGGAGAGGGGUGUGGAAUUCCCGGUGGAGUGGUGAAAUGCGUUGAGAUCGGGAGGAACACCAGUAGCGAAGGCGGCACCCUGGCCGAGUUCUGACGCUGAAGCGCGACAGCGUGGGGAGCAAACGGGAUUAGAUACCCCGGUAGUCCACGCCGUAAACGAUGACAACUAGGUGUCGGGCAUCCAAGGAUGUUCGGUGCCGCAGCCAACGCGAUAAGUUGUCCGCCUGGGGAGUACGGCCGCAAGGCUAAAACUCAAAGGAAUUGACGGGGGCCC
rnacentral:rRNA from 1 species